rnacentral:rRNA from 1 species
GACGAACGCUGGCGGCGUGCUUAACACAUGCAAGUCGAACGGAAAGGCCCUGCUUUUGUGGGGUGCUCGAGUGGCGAACGGGUGAGUAACACGUGAGUAACCUGCCCUUGACUUUCGGAUAACUUCAGGAAACUGGGGCUAAUACCGGAUAGGAGCUCCUGCUGCAUGGUGGGGGUUGGAAAGUUUCGGCGGUUGGGGAUGGACUCGCGGCUUAUCAGCUUGUUGGUGGGGUAGUGGCUUACCAAGGCUUUGACGGGUAGCCGGCCUGAGAGGGUGACCGGCCACAUUGGGACUGAGAUACGGACCAGACGCCUACGGGAGGCAGCAGUGGGGAAUAUUGCACAAUGGGCGGAAGCCUGAUGCAGCAACGCCGCGUGCGGGAUGACGGCCUUCGGGGUGUAAACCGCUUUCGCCUGUGACGAAGCGUGAGUGACGGUAAUGGGUAAAGAAGCACCGGCUAACUACGUG